GCAGAGUAAAAAUGUACUCCUACAAACAAGCCUUCCCUAUGGAGCCAAUGGGCAGAUGUGGCUUCCUUGGACUACGUUAACCUUAACAAGGACACAAGAAACCUGAUGAGAAGGGCCAGUGGAGAGCAUCAGGAGCAGCAUCCCUGGCAAGAGGAGGGAAAAAAAGUACUUGGGUCUGUGAAGAAAUAUUUGGAACAAGGAUAUCCUGCCAGUGAAAAGAAGUUCUACAAUUGGGAAAGGCAAAAAAACAGCCAGUGUAACCACAAUGCUGGAUUUCCUACGGAGAUAACCAUCAUUGAUGCACAAAGCUCCUGUGUUCCUUCAAUUAACAUACUGUAGGUGGAAGCCAAAAACACUGGAUAAUGGUAAGUUUCACUUUCUACAAAGUCAAAAGCUGUUUUAAUAGAAGCGUAGCUGCCUUUCUUUUCAGUUCCGCAAGAAAAUACUCUCUCAGCAGCUGACUGAACACCCACAUUGUUCAGAAGCCAGGCAGAGUGCUCCUUGUUCAGCUUGCUUGCAGUAUGUCAUAGCAUCAAACUUAGCAAGACCUGGUAUCCUGGGUAGGGAUAAUGCUCCAAGUCUUGGUAGUAAAUGGAUUUGCACUGAAUGUAUUGCCAGGAGGAUUUUCUCUGGGAAAGAGGGG
rnacentral:lncRNA from 1 species